CUUCCAGUGGGGUCGGCCCCAUGAACUCAGAGGGCAGAAGGCAGCUCUAAAGAGAGGGCUCGCGAACGAAACAACACCCGGUGAAAUGACCCAGGCUGGUAACAUGGUGAUCCAGGGACCCAAUUUCUUUCCAGCUGUACUAUAGAAUUAUUUUGAAGCAAUUCCCAACCACCGUAUUACUUCACUGCAUAAUUAUUAUUGAACAGUUCAGAAAAUGGACUCUGGAAACAAACUGCCUAGAUUCGACCCAGACAAAGUAGCUGUGUGAUCUCAGGGUAAGUUUCCUUACCUUUCUGUGCUUCAAAUGAGGAAAAUGGAGAUAACAGAAUCCACUCCAUAGGACUGAUUAAAUGAGGUGAUACAUAUAUAUAAAGCAUAGUGCCUGGCACAUAGGAUGAGCUAUUUAUGUAUUAUCUAUGAUGUCAUAUGAUGAUGAAAAUGACUUGACCAUGGCGACGGUGAUAACUCUGGCCAGCUGAUCUUAAAGGCCCGAACCCGCUGUCGGGGCUCCUUGAUGACAGUAUCAGUAGUGGCCACUAGGGGGCGUAGGUGGCCUGGGAUGCGCUCGCCCGGUGACUGGCAGGGGGCGCUGCGGCGCUCGUCUGGCGAGCGCAUUGACAGUGUGGACUGUUUCCCUCUGGACGUUCCAGAGGAGAACGCGCUGGUCCCGACAGGUUCCAAGGGCCCCACAGCGCCAGGGUUAGAGGUUAGUGCGGAGGACUUAGGCAAGAAAAAAAGCUAGAUUCUUGGCACACCCUCUAGGCGCAGCGGGGAACGGGGGGUGCUGAGAGGGAUGUUCCCGGCUCUCAAAACCCCACCCUACACCCAGGAUGCUGAAAUUCCACCUCAAAGUUUUCCAGCACUGGGGGCCGCUUCACUCCUCAUUCCUGGGACAUUCAUACAGCAGCGUGGUCAUGGAGGGUAAUGGGAUGCCCGCGGGCUGCCUGGGCACAGGCGCUUGAGGAACUAAGAGUGUUUGGUAAUUGCCUACGUUUGCCGCGUGUGUGUUUUCUGUGAAGCUUUCAACAGAUUCUCAAAGGAAUCUAGAACUCUGAACAGACAGUAUUCAGAACUCUGUCUCUUCCUACAGGAAGUCUUCCUGAUGUUCUCUCAGAUGGGGUCAGGAGCUCCCUCUGGGCAGCCAGAGCCUCUGAUCUUCCCUGUCCCAGCCCGACCCCUCUGCUUGCCUCCGCCUCCCCCAUCUGUGCACAAGUUGUCACAUCUAGCAAUGUGGCCGAGUCCCUCACUGGAUCUCCAUGAAGGCAGGGCCAGGGAUUUCUUGGGCACCAAAAAUAUCACCAGCAUUGUCCAACACAGGGACUGACACGCCAAAAAAAAAAAAAAAAAAAAGUGUGGAGAGGAGUUCUUGUCGUGGCACAGUGGUUAACGAAUCCGACUAGGAACCAUGAGGUGGUGGGUUCGAUCCCUGGCCUCGCUCAUGGGUUAAGGAUCUGGCGUAAGCCGGCAGCUACAGCUCCGAUUAGACCCCUAGCCUGGAAACCUCCAUAUGCC
rnacentral:lncRNA from 1 species